rnacentral:rRNA from 1 species
AUAGCGUAUAUUAAAGUUGUUGCGGUUAAAAAGCUCGUAGUUGAAUCUGUGUCCCACGCUGUCGGUUCACCGCUCGCGGUGUUUAACUGGCAUGACUGUGGGACGUCCUACCGGUGGGCUUAGCCUCUCGGGGCGGCCCAACUAAUAUCCCAUCGCGGUGCUCUUCACUGAGUGUCGAGGUGGGCCGGUACGUUUACUUUGAACAAAUUAGAGUGCUUAAAGCAGGCUAUCUUCGCCUGAAUACUGUGUGCAUGGAAUAAUGGAAUAGGACCUCGGUUCUAUUUUGUUGGUUUUCGGAACCCCGAGGUAAUGAUUAAUAGGAACAGAUGGGGGCAUUCGUAUUGCGACGUUAGAGGUGAAAUUCUUGGAUCGUCGCAAGACGGACAGAAGCGAAAGCAUUUGCCAAAAAUGUUUUCAUUAAUCAAGAACGAAAGUUAGAGGUUCGAAGGCGAUCAGAUACCGCCCUAGUUCUAACCAUAAACGAUGCCAGCUAGCGAUCCGCCGAAGUUCCUCCGAUGACUCGGCGGGCAGCUUCCGGGAAACCAAAGCUUUUGGGUUCCGGGGGAAGUAUGGUUGCAAAGCUGAAACUUAAAGGAAUUGACGGAAGGGCACCACCAGGAGUGGAGCCUGCGGCUUAAUUUGACUCAACACGGGAAACCUCACCAGGCCCGGACACCGGAAGGAUUGACAGAUUGAUAGCUCUUUCUUGAUUCGGUGGGUGGUGGUGCAUGGCCGUUCUUAGUUGGUGGAGCGAUUUGUCUGGUUAAUUCCGAUAACGAACGAGACUCUAGCCUGCUAAAUAGGCGUACUUUCCGGUAUCUCGAAGGCCCCCGGCUUCGGUCGGGUGGUUUUUACUACCGGCGUACAAAUAAAUCUUCUUAGAGGGAC